rnacentral:rRNA from 1 species
UACGGAGGGAGCUAGCGUUGUUCGGAAUUACUGGGCGUAAAGCGCACGUAGGCGGCUUUUUAAGUCAGGGGUGAAAUCCCGGGGCUCAACCCCGGAACUGCCCUUGAAACUGGAGAGCUAGAAUCUUGGAGAGGCGAGUGGAAUUCCGAGUGUAGAGGUGAAAUUCGUAGAUAUUCGGAAGAACACCAGUGGCGAAGGCGGCUCACUGGACCGGAACUGACGCUGAGGCGCGAAAGCGUGGGGAGCAAACAGG